AGGAUGAACGCUGGCGGCGUGCUUAACACAUGCAAGUCGAACGAUGAAGGCUGGAGCUUGCUCUGGCUGGAUUAGUGGCGAACGGGUGAGUAACACGUGAGUAACCUGCCCCUGACUCUGGGAUAAGCGCUGGAAACGGCGUCUAAUACCGGAUACGAGCUUCCACCGCAUGGUGAGGAGCUAGGAAAGUAAUUUCGGUCUGGGAUGGACUCGCGGCCUAUCAGCUUGUUGGUGAGGUAAUGGCUCACGAAGGCGACGACGGGUAGCCGGCUGAGAGGGUCGACCGGCCACGACGUGGGACUGACGACACGGCCCAGACCUCCGACGGGAGGCAGGCAGGUGGGAAUAGUG
rnacentral:rRNA from 1 species